UACGUAGGCAGCAAGCGUUGUUCGGAGUUACUGGGCGUAAAGGGCUCGUAGGCGGCCAACUAAGUCAGACGUGAAAUCCCUCGGCUUAGCCGGGGAACUGCGUCUGAUACUGGAUGGCUUGAGUUUGGGAGAGGGAUGCGGAAUUCCAGGUGUAGCGGUGAAAUGCGUAGAUAUCUGGAGGAACACCGGUGGCGAAGGCGGCAUCCUGGACCAACACUGACGCUGAGUGAGCGAAAGCCAGGGGAGCAAACGGG
rnacentral:rRNA from 1 species